GAUGAACGCUGGCGGCGUGCCUAAUACAUGCAAGUCGAGCGAACGGACGAGAAGCUUGCUUCUCUGAUGUUAGCGGCGGACGGGUGAGUAACACGUGGAUAACCUACCUAUAAGACUGGGAUAACUUCGGGAAACCGGAGCUAAUACCGGAUAAUAUUUUGAACCGCAUGGUUCAAAAGUGAAAGACGGUCUUGCUGUCACUUAUAGAUGGAUCCGCGCUGCAUUAGCUAGUUGGUAAGGUAACGGCUUACCAAGGCAACGAUGCAUAGCCGACCUGAGAGGGUGAUCGGCCACACUGGAACUGAGACACGGUCCAGACUCCUACGGGAGGCAGCAGUAGGGAAUCUUCCGCAAUGGGCCGAAGCCUGACGGAGCAACGCCGCGUGAGUGAUGAAGGUCUUCGGAUCGUAAAACUCUGUUAUUAGGGAAGAACAUAUGUGUAAGUAACUGUGCACAUCUUGACGGUACCUAAUCAGAAAGCCACGGCUAACUACGUG
rnacentral:rRNA from 1 species